rnacentral:rRNA from 1 species
GGCCCAGACUCCUACGGGAGGCAGCAGUGAGGAAUAUUGGUCAAUGGGCGCAAGCCUGAACCAGCCAAGUCGCGUGAGGGAUGACGGUCCUAUGGAUUGUAAACCUCUUUUGUCGGGGAGCAAGGCCCGCCACGUGUGGCGGGAAGGAGAGUACCCGAAGAAAAAGCAUCGGCUAACUCCGUGCCAGCAGCCGCGGGAAUACGGAGGAUGCGAGCGUUAUCCGGAUUUAUUGGGUUUAGAGGGUGCGUAGGCGGAAUAUCAAGUCAGCGGUAAAAAUUCGGGGCUCAACCCCGUCGUGCCGUUGAAACUGAUGUUCUUGAGUGGGCGAGAAGUAUGCGGAAUGCGUGGUGUAGCGGUGAAAUGCAUAGAUAUCACGCAGAACUCCGAUUGCGAAGGCAGCAUACCGGCGCCCAACUGACGCUGAAGCACGAAAGCGUGGGUAUCGAACAGGAUUAGAUACCCCCGUA